rnacentral:tRNA from 1 species
GGUUGUAGCUCAGUGGUAGAGCGCUUGCCUAGCAAGUGUGAGGCACUGAGUUCGAUUCUCAGCACCA